rnacentral:lncRNA from 1 species
UUUUUAAAAAAAGAUUUUAUUUAUUUAUUUGAGAGGGAGAGACAGUGAGAGAGGGAACACAAGCAGGGGGAAUGGGAGAGGGGAGCCUGACGAGGGGCUCAAUCCCAGGAUCCUGGGAUCAUGACUUGAGCCAAAGGCAGACACCCAACGACUGAGCCACCCAGGCUCCCCAAUCAUCCCCAUUUUAAAGAGGAAGAAACUGAGGCACAGAAUUGAUAGUAUGCUUGCCUGAGGGCAGACUGGAGACUCAGAGUCUGUCCAGAGCCACGGGCUGGAAACCCACAGGGUGUUCUCUCCCAGCUCAGUUUUAUCUUCUGUGACCCAGCCCAGUGCUGGAUGCCAGAGACUCAGAUAAAUCAGAACUGGUCUCCUCCAGGAAGGCUAAUCUCCAGGGAAGACCAGGCAGAGUGCACAACUCUGCCCUGGGAAGGACACCGAGCAGAGACUGUCUCUAUGCCGGGGCUGCCCAGCUGGGGCCCCGAGGACCCUUGGCCUGGCAGGAGCAGGGAUGUGUGAAGCACAGGUCUGAUCACUGGAGGUCGGGCUGGGGUAAUGAUGAAGCUGCUUUCUGCAGGAGGCUUGCUCACCGUUGCAGGAGUUUAAGCAGAUGGAGUGACUGUUUCAAAAGGCUCCCUCUGACUACUGUGAACAGAAAGGACCACGGAAGCAGGGAGAUCCCAGAUGGAUGGUCUCUGAGAGAGACAAACAGGAGGAAGAACAGAUGGCCUCCUCCUGUCCCACCCAGCCCUCAGCGUGGGCUUCAGCUGCAGGCUGUUUGACAUUCAAUGCUGCCUCAACGUGCCAUGGCCAGAGCCGUGGAAACUCCAUCACCCUUUAGGAGGACUGCUCAGUCUCUGUUCUUUGGAGGUACUUUAAUUUAUUUAACCAAUCCCAUAUUGAAGAAUAUUUAGAUUGCUUCCAAUUUUUUUUUUUUUUUUUGCCACUUGAAUCCUUUUUCAAUGACUCCCAUUUUUACUUGGCUCAUUAGAAGCAAAACCAUCUGUGAAAACACAGAUUCAAUUGCUACUUGCAUUUUCUAAUACAAUUUAAAUCCUUGCAAGGCUAUUAAAAUUAAAUAGUGUCUGUCCUUGUGCCACUCCAUCUAUGCCCCAUUCAGCUUGCAGGCAGGGCUUCCUCACUUGGGGGAACGCCGGCGCCAACCAUUCACAGGUAUACACUGAGCAUCUACUGUGUGUCGGGAACACAUCAUAAUCGUGAGGUGCUCCUCUCCCAUCCAGACACAGGGCACCUCACACAGGUAAGCCCCUACCCCUGCCUCCACUAAAUGUACCAAGUGCACCAUCCCUUCCAGGGCUGGCAGGACCUUGUCUAUAACCACCUCUUCUCUUGAUAUGGACCAUUCCACCCUUUCCACAGUGCCAGCACAAUCCCUACAACUCACAGGGGAUGUUAAGGUAAACAGGUGUGGCAGAGCUCCACUUUGGAGUCCCCUGAGUUUAAUCCCAACUCUGCAUUGUCCAGCUAGUGACUCU